rnacentral:rRNA from 1 species
GACGAACGCUGGCGGCGUGCCUAAUACAUGCAAGUAGAACGCUGAAGAGAGGAGCUUGCUCUUCUUGGAUGAGUUGCGAACGGGUGAGUAACGCGUAGGUAACCUGCCUUGUAGCGGGGGAUAACUAUUGGAAACGAUAGCUAAUACCGCAUAACAAUGGAUGACACAUGUCAUUUAUUUGAAAGGGGCAAUUGCUCCACUGCAAGAUGGACCUGCGUUGUAUUAGCUAGUAGGUGAGGUAAUGGCUCACCUAGGCGACGAUACAUAGCCGACCUGAGAGGGUGCUCGGCCACACUGGGACUGAGACACGGCCCAGACUCCUACGGGAGGCAGCAGUAGGGAAUCUUCGGCAAUAGGGGCAACCCUGACCGAGCAACGCCGCGUGAGUGAAGAAGGUUUUCGGAUCGUAAAGCUCUGUUGUAAGUCAAGAACGGGUGUGAGAGUGGAAAGUUCACACUGUGACGGUAGCUUACCAGAAAGGGACGGCUAACUACGUG